rnacentral:lncRNA from 1 species
AGAGACGCGAUUGAGAGAGAGGGUUGUGGGUGAGAUUGUGAGUCGAGAGAAGAGAGAUUCAGAUGAGAAGAGGGAAAGACACGAGAGAGGAGAUUGAAAGAAUUUUUCAUUACUAUUCAUUAUCACUUUUUAUUCAUUUAUUGUUAUUUUUAUUUAUUUUUUUUUAAAAACAAAAAAACAUGCUUUAAAUUAGAAUUUAAUUAACGUUUUCCUUUGUUCUAUUAAACAAGGUAUAUUAAU